AGAGUUUGAUCCUGGCUCAGAUUGAACGCUGGCGGAAUGCUUACACAUGCAAGUCGAGCGGCAGCGCGGGGCAACCUGGCGGCGAGCGGCGAACGGGUGGUAAUGCAUCGGAACAUGUCCAUGUCGUGGGGGAUAGCCCGGCGAAAGCCGGAUUAAUACGCAUACGCUCGAGAGAGGAAAGCCGGGGACCGCAAGGCCUGGCGCGAUUGGGUUGGCCAUGUCCGAUUAGCUUGUUGGUGAGGUAAAGGCUUACCAAGGCGAUGAUCGGUAGCUGGUUGAGAGGAUGAUCAGCCACACUGGGACUGAGACACGGCCCAGACUCCUACGGGAGGCAGAGUGGGGAAUUUUGGACAAUGGGGGCAACCCUGAUCCAGCCAUUCCGCGUGAGUGAAGAGGCCUUCGGGUUGUAAAGCUCUUUUGUCCGGAGCGAAACGGGUAGCCCUAAUACGGCUGCUACUGACGGUACCGGAAGAAUAAGCACCGGCUAACUACGUGCCAGCAGCCGCGGUAAU
rnacentral:rRNA from 1 species